AGAUCCCGUUUUCUAAAGUUUGAGGUCAUUUUCUUGUGCUUACAGGAGCCUCCGAACAGCGAUGUACAGUUUCUGGACUGAGAGAAGAACCCAGUUGUGGACCUCGAGUGGGAGAAGUGAGAGUCUAACCUCAGGCUGUUGUGCCCUCCUGCGUGUCCUCCCUUCUCCCCACAGUGGGGCCCAACUCUGUAUUGACUCUGUGUUCAAAAUUUACAGACACCGGAGGCAUUGGCCAUGAAGCAGGACAUCUGGCCUCAUCCCCCAUCUUGAACACCUGCUUUCUGUGCCAUAGAAGAGAUAGCUCAGCGAAUCUUGAGAAUGCUGAAGUGAAACGAAGCAAAACAAAACCACUUUUCCAAGUGUGAAAUAAAAGCCUGAGAAAGCAGUCUGGGUGGCCGGGCCUCCAAGUGCUGGAUUUCUGUGCACGGAAUGGAUGACAUCAGCUCAGGAGGGAAAGAAAUGCUGUCUUGAGUAACACCAGAUACAACUGGCCUUUUCUUGGAACAUUCGGCUUGGCAAGUGGAGGCUGUGUCUUCCCUGUCUCCCCACUACACCUG